rnacentral:rRNA from 1 species
GACGAACGCUGGCGGCAUGCUUAACACAUGCGAGUCGGACGGGAAACACGGGAUACUGUGUUUUCCGCGGCGGACGGGCGAGUAACGCGCACGAACGUGCCCUUGCGUGGGGAAUAAGAUCACGUCACGGCUGCUAAUAUACUGCCGGCUAAGGGGUCCAACUAGGGGUUCGCCCGAGGAGGGGUUCGCGUCUGAUUAGCUGGCUGGCGAGGCAUCAGCUUAUUAAUGCGAUGAUCAGUAGCCCGUACGUGGGGAUGGGCAGCCACGCUGAGAGUGAGACGCGGCCAAGACUCCUGCGGGAGGCAGCGGGGGAGAAUGUUCCGCAGGGGGCGAAAGCCUGACGGAACAAUGCCGCGUGGAGGUAGGAGGCCCGGGGGUCGUGAACUUCUUUUCCCGGAGAAGAAGCAAUGACGGUAACUGGGGAAUAAGCAUCGGCUAACUCUGUG